AGAUUGAACGCUGGCGGCAUGCCUAACACAUGCAAGUCGAACGGGAGUAGCAAUACUCUAGUGGCGGACGGGUGAGGAAUACGUAGGAAUUUGCCCUUAAGUGGGGGAUAACCCGGGGAAACCCGGAUUAAUACCGCAUGACCUCGAAAGAGCAAAGUGGGGGAUCGCAAGACCUCACGCUUUUGGAGAAGCCUACGUCGGAUUAGCUAGUUGGUGAGGUAAUGGCUCACCAAGGCGACGAUCCGUAACUGGUCUGAGAGGAUGAUCAGUCACACCGGAACUGAGACACGGUCCGACUCCUACGGGAGCAGCAGUGGGAAUAGUUGGACAAUGGGCGCAAGCCUGAUCCA
rnacentral:rRNA from 1 species